UGUACAGCCAAACAAGGUGACUAGCCAUCG
rnacentral:piRNA from 1 species